UGCGCAGUAGCAGCCCCGGGCGCCGCGUGAAUGGAAGGCAACGUCCCUGUGCGUGCGCGCGCACUGCCAUCCGGCGCUUUGACUGCUCGCUAGUCACCUCUGGUCCCGGGAGCUGGAAGGGCUGAGGUGCGUGGAUCUGUCACCUUCUCGGUCGGCUCAUGAAAUCUCCCUUCUCUUAGGCCCCUUUCCCUCUAUCAGUCCCCAUCGCCCGAGGAAUUAUGCACCACCCCCUCAUUUUCCCGAUCGGCUGGGAGCUCGGCUCUUGGUAAUGCGCCACGCAAACUAUAGGGUUGAUCCGACGCGUCCAACCACAGAGACCAUGUGCCUCUGGGAUUCUAGAGCGGCCGGCCUGAAGCCGCCACUGACUUCCGGUGGUUGGUCGUCCGCCCAGCUUCCGGAGUCCCCGGGCGUCCGCUCGGGUUUUCCCGGCCUCCUGCGUGUUCUCUCCGUCGGUGGUUCUGCGGUGGUCUCCGCUCUUUGGGCUGCGGCGGAGCUGAGGGGGAGAGCGAGCGGGGCGUCCAGCCUCUACCCCUCCGCGGAGCCCGCGGGUCAGCCGAGCCCAGAGAGGGAGGAAGCAGUACUGGGAUCCAGGUGCCCCGCCCCACUCCGGAGCCGGUAGUUCGUUCGUCCGUAGAGCAAAUACUCAUCGAGCACCAUCCCUCAAAAGCUCAGUGCGGAGGAGGCAGCGGUGACACGGGGACAAAUUUAAGACCAGCAGAGGAGGCCACUGCAGAUGCUGUUGUGGAAACAACAAGAGAACCAGAAUCAGAAGUGGAGCCUGAACGCGUGAUCAAAGGGCUUCAAUCUCUGGAUAAAACAUGAAUGGACGGAGUCAUCGUCACAGUUUACGUCUAAGCUCAGCUCAGGAGAGAAAGCGACCCAAGGCCACAAAGCACAGGGAUGAGGGGUUCGGUGGGGGACUGUGUCUGCGUCCGGGACUCCAUGUACCCGGUUCCCAUUCUUUACAGACGGACACGCCUCUCUGACUAAGGCAGGCAGCAGUGAGUAAUCUGGUUCAGUCACCCAGUGAGUGGCGGGGGCAUCCAGCAGAGAAAGCCCACGUGGCCCGGCCACGGCUCACACCCACGUUUACAGGGGCCAACGGAAGCUGCUCCUGGGGCCCCCUCUUCCGAGGGGAGGCGACUGUCAGUCUGCUGGGUCCCCUCCACUCUCUCCUUCCCUGCUUUCUUCAGCAAGCCCUCCUGGAUCCAGUGCCACCCACCGGAGAGGGUGCCCUGAGGACACCAUAGACAGAACGCGCCCUUCCAAGAAGGGGGCAGUUCAGUGGAUGAACCUGCGAAGGACACUGCCUGUUCUCCAUGGGGGCAUUUCAGGCCCCCAUGAGGCAGGUGGGCGAGGGGAGGUGGGAACAAGAACUCCCUCUAGGGGCCCAUAGAACUCACCAGAAUUAAGGACCAAGUUGUCAUCUCCUCAGCUGGUAACUCGUGGCAAGCCCCAGCCCUCUCUGAACCUCAGUCUCUUCUUUGUCACGAGGGUAGCAAUCUAUUCUCCUGUCACUCAACAGGAAGCCUCUCCAAGACUGGAAAUGGAGAGUCGGUCUAAAUGAUAACUGAUUCCAGGCCCGAUCUGAACACGGAUCCCGGUGUUAAUGGCAGCGGCUGGAGGCGGGAAGGUCUCUGAGGAGGGAGGCAGGGCCCACCGCAGGCGGUGGGGAGUGCCGGGCAUCCUGUCCUCCCAGCCCUCAACCUGGAAUGAUCGGUUAAGAUUGCAUUGGGCUGCCAGCAACAGAAAACCACCAACAUGGCUUAUGCACUUGAAGGUGUCUUUUUCUUUCAUUGGGAGAAAUCGAAAGCACUUUGUUGACCUUGGUUUAGUUGUCAGGGACUAAGGCUCUCUUUCCACUUUGCCGUUAUACUCAUGACAGUCUCCUUCUCUUAACUCAUGACUGCAAGACAGCUCCUGGGAUCCCGCCAUCACAUUCAUGUUCCAGGCAGAAUAAAAGAGGGAGAAGGACCUGGCACGCCGUGUGUCCCCUGUCGUCAACAAGAGUAAACCCCUUCCUGGUCACCCCCCCAGACAGGCGCAUACAUCUUAGAACCAUGUCACAGGCCAUCCCUAGCUGCAAGGGAGGCUCAGAAGUCAAGUGCUUACAUAGGCACGUUGCUUCCCCACAAAUUGGGGUAUGUUAGAAAGGAAGAAGUGGAGGGGGACCCGGG